rnacentral:ncRNA from 1 species
UCAUUUUUGCCACCGGGUAAAGAUUGUAUAGUGUUCUGAAACAUUCCGUUAGGUCUUAGAAGGAAUGUUUUUAGAGCACUUUUUUACU